rnacentral:rRNA from 1 species
AUUGAACGCUGGCGGCAUGCCUUACACAUGCAAGUCGAACGGUAACAGGCCGCAAGGUGCUGACGAGUGGCGAACGGGUGAGUAAUACAUCGGAACGUGCCCGAUCGUGGGGGAUAACGCAGCGAAAGCUGUGCUAAUACCGCAUACGAUCUACGGAUGAAAGCGGGGAUCGCAAGACCUCGCGCGGACGGACCGGCCGAUGGCAGAUUAGGUAGUUGGUGGGGUAAAGGCCUACCAAGCCGACGAUCUGUAGCUGGUCUGGGAGGACGACCAGCCACACUGGGACUGAGACACGGCCCAGACUCCUACGGGAGGCAGCAGUGGGGAAUUUUGGACAAUGGGCGCAAGCCUGAUCCAGCCAUGCCGCGUGCAGGAUGAAGGCCUUCGGGUUGUAAACUGCUUUUGUACGGAACGAAAAGGUUUCUUUUAAUACAGGGAACUGAUGACGGUACCGUAAGAAUAAGCACCGGCUAACUACGUGCCAGCAGCCGCAGUAACAC